CCCAGUUCCCCUUCCUAGAGGCAACUACUACUACUUAUCUCCCAUAUAUAUUUCCAGGAGUGAUGGUGAGGAGGAAUUGUGCCAGCUUGCUUCUUCACUGCCAUUUUGGAACCAGAACUCAGAACCUGAGAAAGAUGAAUGAAAUUUAGUGUUUCCCAUCCCCGAGAGACACCCAGCAUCCACAACUUCACACUCUGAUGCCAUUGUGUAUUUAUGCAAGAAAUACCAUAACUAAGGUAAUGUCUUGAGAUUUUUUGGUUCAAUAAUGUCCUUAAAUUCUAUGUUGUUUUUAAAGCCUA
rnacentral:lncRNA from 1 species